GGAAGAAUGGCGGAAUUGGUAUACGCGCCGCACUCAAACUGCGGUGGCCGCAAGGCUGUAUGGGUUCGAGUCCCAUUUCUUCCACCA
rnacentral:tRNA from 1 species